UAUUUUCAUGAUACACAUUUUUCAUGCACUAAGGAAAAUAUUUUUGAACCAGAAUAAAUUCAUACUUUUAAGUCCAUCCUUAUAUGGAGUUUUUGAAGAGCUCUCAUAUAGACAUAGAACUAUGAUAAUAAUUAUUUCGUCUCAAAUUUGACAGGCUGUACAAAGGACAAGUAGCAGGUCUUUUAAUAGAAUAGGGAGAACCUAACCUAGUCAAGGAGUGUACCUAAGAGAAGGACCCAAAAAGUGAGUCCAGAAUAUUCAGAAAUUGUUGGCAAAUAAAUUAGGGGAACAUGUUGACCUGAAAAGCAUAGGUCUAAAAGAAGGCUGGCAACAGAAUGGAAUGGGAAACUUCUUUGUGGAAGGAAUAGCCUUCCUGAGAUACUGAUGAGGAGACAGUGAUUACAGGGAGGUAAAAUGGCUUUGUGUAAGUUAGAAAAGGAGCCAAAUCCAGAACAUAUCUUCUUUUGUAAAUGAAGUUUUAUUAGAAAAAGUCACACCUGUUUGUUUAUGGAAUAUCUAUGAUUGCUUUAGCACUAUGAUAACACCAGCAUGACCAGAUGCUACAAAUUAUACCACCUGCAAGUAUUUACUGUCUGGCCAUUUAUAAACCUUGUUAUUGCUAUAGUAAUCUUGCAGUUUAAAAUGUGGUAGAAUUCUUUUAUCAAAAGUAGAUUGGCGGAGAGAUCCAGGAUGACAAAAUAGGAAGGGAGCUUACUGCUCUAGUCUAGGGGAAGAUAGUUUAAGAAAACAGUGGAGAGUGCAGUCUCAGGGAAGAGUUUGGGAAAAAACAGCAGAGGAAACUUCACACAAAUUAGAGCAACACUGUGGACCUAUGUGGAGGAUGUGCACAUAUGCAACCCAGGACCCCAGCAGCUGAGAGCCUCAGCACCAGCUCUGGAGAGUGAGGUGAGACCAGACUGCAGCAGCCCAAGCCACUGGCAAUAAAGCCGCAGGAAGAGCCUGGCAUGAAUCCAGCUUGGAGCCCUGUGGGGGACAGUGUACCUGCCAACCUACAGGAGAAAAAAAAGGGGGCUCAUUUCUUUCUCCUGACUACCUGGCACUGGCAGUUAACAAGCAAAAAGAGGGUGGACACCAUUUGGGACAUAAAGAACAGCUGUACCUGCUCAUGUCCACAUACCCAGCAACCACCAGAGGGAAGAUGCCUGAGUCUAGCUGGGAUAAUUGACAGGGGCCUGGGUGCUCGUGACUGUGGGAGGCUUAUGUGCUAGGACUGUGGGAGGCUUAUGUGCUAGGACUGUGAAAACACUGUUGCUGCAUGGAAUGGAAGAGGGUGUGGCUGGAACUUUGGGCAGUCACUGUGGGUGGCUGUACACACUCAGGGCGCCCUGAUUGCCUGGUGAAGGUCAUUGCUGUGAGAUUGGUGCUCCGACCAAGUACUGCACAGACCUUUGUGUGGUUCUUGUGAAAUUGGUCUCUUUUGAGGAGAGGAGGCGAGCAUGAGACUAUGUCAAUGGAGCAGAACAAACCUCCCCUCUGAUAAAAAAAAAUAAAUAAAAAGAGGAGAUUUACCACAUACAACCUGGGUGUCAUGUUUGACACUCCCCUCACCCUGGAGCACUCAAAAGGGCUCCCUGGCCACACCCACCACCCAACUCUGGAUAUUUACUGAGAAAGCAAACACUCCACAAAGCCACAGAGGCAUAUUCCAAAGAUAAAAACCAUCACAGGAAAACAAAACAAAACAAAAAGAAACCAACAAGUACCCCCACAGAUGCCAAAUAAUAAAUGCAGUAUUCAAGAAGCAAGAAUAAGGAAGACAACAUAAUGCUCCCUAAAGAACAUGACACGUCAGUACUAGAAUAUGAAUAGAUGAAGAGACUGAAGAAAAACCAGAAAAGGAAUUCAAAAAAAUUGAUUGUGAGAUUAUGUAGACAUAAUCAGAAGCAAAUCCACAAAGUAAUGAAAUCCAAAUAUGACAUGAAAGCAAAUUUCUUCCAUGAAAUUAAGAUCUUAAUGAGAAAUCAACAUGAAACCUUGGAAAUGAAUAAUUUGGUAGAACAAAUUAAAAAAUGCAUUGGAAAGCCUUACCAACAGACUCGAUGAAGCAGAAGAAAGAAUGUCUGAGAAGACAAAUUGCUAGAAAUUUUACAAUCAGACCAAAAACAAGAAGAAGAAAUUAGAAAACUAGAAAACAGUGCUGUAGAUCUGUGGGAUACUAUCACAUGACACAACAUACAGGUCUUAGGAGUUCAAAAAGACACGAAAAGAAUGUAUUAGAAGGUCCUUCUAGUGAAAUAUUCACAGAAUUACAGAAAACUUCCCAAAUUUGUAGAAAGAAAGGGACAUCCUAGUACAGGAAGCACAUAGAACUCCUAAUAGACAUGAAUGGAAAAGAUCUUCACCACGACAGAUUGCAGUCAAACUCUCCACAGUAAAACAUAAAGAGAAGAUUCUAAAAUGUGCAAAAGAGAAAUGCCAGAUCACUUUCAGAGGAUCUCCAAUUAGAUUCACAGCUGACUUCUCUUCAGAAACCCUACAAGCUAGCAGAGAAUGGUGAGAUAUAUUCCAAGUCUUAAGAGGAAAAAAAAACAUUCAACCUAGAAAAGUAUGCUUUGCAAAGCUCUCAUUUAUGAAUGAAGGUGAAAUAAAGAUUUUCCAUAGUAAACAGCAAUUGAAAGCAUUUGUCACCAGCCUUACAAAAUUGCUUAAGGAUGUGCUACACACAGAAACAUGGUCAUCACUAUGAAAGAAGGUGAAGACAGAAAAUCUCCCAGUAAAAGUACAAAGGAAAUCCUAAGUAAAUAAUAAGAAUAUUUAUGGGAAGAUGACAGGGAAAGUCACUACAUAUCAGUAGUCACCUUGAAUAUAAAUGGCCUCAACUCUCCAGUUAAAAGAUACAGACUGGCAGAAUGGAUUAAAAAAACAAAACUCACCUGUUUGCUGCCUACAAGAGACACACCUCACCAACAAAGAUGCACGCAGACUCAAAGUAAAAGGAUGGAAAAAGAUAUUCCAGGGUAACAGAAACCAAAAAAAGCUGCUGAAGCCAUCUAAUCAGUGUGAUAUAUCACAUUAACAGAUUGAAGAAAAAACUGAAUCAGAUUUGCUUUCAAAAGAACUCUGGCCAUGGUUCUUUUGGGAGAAUUGACAGAUUAGAAAUGGGGACCCUGGGUGGAUAUGGGGCACCUAAGAGUAUUCAAGAGAGAGUGGUGGCAGAGGUUUGUACUAAGUUUGUGCCAGGUGGUCUUGGAAUGAAAUCAAUGGAAUUGAGAUAGUUUUAUGAUUUGUGUAGGAUAGCACCUGGUGACUGAUUGGGUAGUUGGAGAGUUGUUCAGGACGACCCAGAUUACUUCCUGGUGCACCUGGAUUAAAGAAGGUGUCAGCCACUGGAUGGGAAUCUCUGGAGAAGAAGAAGGAUGGGGAGGCAAAGUCAGGAGCUUUUUAAUAACUGCCUAGUUCACCAUGAUGAGAUAACAAAAGCUGUCCCUCAUUGGACAUAUAGAUUGUUUCUCUUGUUUUCUUUUAACACUAAUGCUUUAAUGAACUAACUUUUAUCUAUAGUUGUUUUCUUAGAAUGUAAUCUUAGCAGAAAAAUGAUUGAAGACUGCACACAUUGUUAAGUUUGUUGAUCCAUAUUGUUCAGUUAACCUCAAGAAUUUUACUCCAGUUGACACUUUCACCAAUAUGUGUUGCUGUGGCUGUUUUGGGUUUAAUAGGCACCAAACUUCCAAAGAGUUACAUGUCAGAAUCUGUCCUAUUCUCCCCUUAACCCCCCAGUUUCCAUUUCUUCCAGCUCAAAAUAUUACUGAUUGAAAGAUUUUCUAUGUUUGAAGGAAGUUUUGUGGUGCUGGCCUAUAAGUUUCUUUGUGGUAGAAAAAGAACAUUCUUCAAAUCUCUGGUUGACAUCCAAAGUAGGACCCCUGGCACAGGAGCCUUUCUGGCUUUAUUUCUACUUGGUGUGAUAAAAAGUAACUUGUAAUCUGAGUCAAAUUAUACCCCUAAAGUAUGUUGGCUGGUAUUCCAGGCCCCAUCUCCUCUCUGUCUCCAAAGAGGUGUUUGUUUUAUGUGGCACAUCCAUCUCCUGUCACACUCAACAGCUUUUUAUCCUACCUGGCAAUUUCAGAUACCACCCAGUAGCAGCCAGACUAGUGAAACCUUUUGGCACAAGAAGCAGGUUAAUGGCAUUAAGAAAGCAGACUAGGGUUACAUUGUGGUGAAAGGGGAGGAUGGCUUUGGUGCCAGUUCAAUUCCAUCUUUUCCUGGCUGUGUGUCCUAUGAAGUCUCAUGACUGCUCUGAAUUCAUCUCAUCAGCACAAGAGUACUUUUAGUAGUAAGUUAAUAAAUUAUUGGGAAGAGAAACAACAAGCCUUUCAGAUUCUGAGUCCAGGCCCUGGCACUGAGCAGGUGUUGGAUAAAUAGUGCUUUACUGAAAAAUGGAGUGGAGUUAGUGGUUGAGUUUGGGAUCAUGCUACCUUUCAUACCUCACCUUCUUAAGCUCUGAGACUCUGAAGUCUCUUGGCACACAAAAUCUAUCACAGCUCCUUCUGAACAUUGUUGAAGAUGUCUGAGAAGGGAGAAAUGAUGGGUGAGGUUAACUUCCCAAUCCCUGUUUUAAGUGCUUAUCUUGCAAUUGGAGGGCAAGGUCAUUGUGGAUGAGGCACAAUAUGGACACUAUCUUCCCCAGUGUCUGUACCACUAGAAAUUCUUACCAUGUAUUUAGGCUAAAAUAUUGUCUCCAAGAUGCCCUUUUGAAAAUACAGAUCUCCUCAAGGGACACUGCUAAAUGUUAGUGCAAGCUCUGGGGUCAGAUGACCUCGGAGUGAAUCUCAGCUCUGCACUUUAUUAGCUAUCAUAUCUUAGGCAUGUUCCUUCACUUUUCUGUGCCUCAGUUCCUUCAUCCAUACAAUAAGAACAAUAACAGGGUUUGGGAGGAGUGGAUGAGAUGAUGCCUGGAAAAUAAGCACUCAGCAUGAGUUAGCUGUUUUUACUAACCGUAACUAAAUCUUGAGGAGAGGAAGGUAGUGAUAUUUCUCUACCAGGAAAAAAAUUAAGUUUAUCCUUCACCCAGAUUAGUCUCCUUAGCUUUGCUAUUUCAGAGAGGGCAACUAAGUCUCAGAGAUUAAAUGGUCUUGAUCCACUUGGCUUCACCAGGAUGUGCUGAAGAAACAGGAUGUAAUGUGUACCUUCCUUCAUCUGUGACCCUAAUAAGCCUUGCAGAUAACUCCUCAGCCUUCCUAAGAGAGGGUUAUUGGUGGUAGUCCUUGAAAUUGAGCUGUGCUCUCCCCUGAAGACAGCUGUGUUGGAGAACUCACAAAUGCUCUCCCUUUUGGGGGGAAGAUGGGAAACUCAGUUUGGAGAGUAACUUAUAAAAAUAAGGCCAGAUUCCAAAUCCAGAGGCCACAUGGAUGUUAAAAUAUUACACCUCUGCUCCCGAGAGGAUGACUCAGCAUUUAGAGAUGAAAAAUAACCUCCAAGACAUCACAAUUGACUUGUUUAGGUAACUGAUUAUUUGUGUACUAUGGCUGAAUCCACUUAUGGCUCCAUGCCUGGUGCUAUGGGGAAAAUACUAUGGCUCCUGGGUUGUAGGUACAUUUCUAUCUGCUGGGCAUUCUCUGGGUUUCUGAAAGAAGUGAGUCAACAGCCUGUCAACAAUUGAUUUAAUGUCUUGAUGUGAGUUUUGAUGUGAGAGUAUUUAUAAUGCUUCACACACUCCCACCCCCAUCCAACCAUAAUGUUGAUUUCAAAUCCAGAGACCAGGCAUACAAAUACUUGUUUCCCUUUAGCUAUAGACUUUCUACCUAGGACACUUUGAGAAUUCUUAGUUAUUCAGUUUGUAGUUCGCAAAUGCUUAUUCUGUACCCAGUAUACCCUAGAAUAGAAGAAGGGAAACUUGCAGAUUAUUUGGUAUAAUCUAAGUGAAGUUGAACUCAGAUAAUAAUAGUUAUAAUAAUUUUCCUAUUUAUUAAAUAUUUACUGUAUGGUAGUUACUGUGCUGGGAACCCUGGACUUUAUUCUCUCCAAAGCCUUUUAUUAUUCACAUUUUGCUAAUAAUGAAAAUAAAACAGAAAAGGAUAGCAUAGCUGGUCAAGUGGCAGAAUUGAGUUUCAACCCUGAAUAUGUUGAUUCAUGUCAUUUGUGGCUGCUAUGCUUUACAGAGUGGCUACAAGUGCCAUGAACUAUUGUACCUAGGGGAAAUACAGGGAUUGUCUCCUACACUCCUCUGAUCAUAACAUUACCCCAACUGCUCAUUACAUAACCUUGUUUUAAGUGUGUUUCUGUUUAAAGACAUCUUAUUUAAUAUAUUCUGUUGAUUCAUUAACAUUGAACUUACAGCUAGCAACACUAUGACUCAUGCCUAAAUGAAGCUUCUCUAACACACAAAUAUUUUCUGUAAGAUACACAUCACAGUCUUCUUGGGGUUAGGAUCACUAGGUAGCACUUCAGCAUGAUGCUUGGGGGCCAUUUAAACAGCAGCAUCACCAAAAAGUGCACAAAAAUAAUAAAAACAUUGCACUAAGUAGACUGCAAAGUAAAUACUUUUUAAUAAUCCAAGAGCUGAAAAACGAAAGCUUUAUCACUUUGUCACCCAACCUCAGCUAGAAAUGUGUGUGUUCAGGAGCUCAAAUUGUUUUGCUGCUCUGAGAUUGCCUGCAAAUGACCAUAAAAAUGCCAUGAGUAUUGAUUUUUGUAGCUACAAAUAAAUUUUAACAAGUAGGGAAUUGCUCAAACACAGAAUUCAUGAAUAGUAAGUGGUGAAUAUAGUCUUAUUCCAGACCAUAUGUUUCCUCUUCUUCACACUUUACCCAGCUGUGAUAAACAGCCUUCAAGAUGACCCUCAAUGAUCUCCGCCUUCUGAUCUUCAUACCCUUUGUAAUCCAAUCUGCUAGAGUAGUGAUAGAGUAGUGCUAGACCAGUGACUCAUUUCUAAUGAGUACAACAUGGCUUAAUGUGAUAGGACAUCCUUCUCAAGGUUCAAUUACAAAAAGACUAUAGCCUCCUUCUUUCCUCUUUCUCUCAUUUGUUCUGUUUACUGUUUUGAGCCACCCUAUUGAGAAGCCAAUAUGAUGGAAAAUUGACUAAGCCAGAAAGAAAAGGGAUUCCUUCAAUAUAGCAAGAAAUCAAAUGCCACCAACAAAUGGUGAACUGAUCCUUCCCCAGUCAAGAUUUCUGAUGAGACUGCAGCCCUAGCUAACACAUUGGUUUGAGCCUGGUAAGAAAACAUAGAAUUAGAGGAAGCAAGAGCUUAGACCUAAAGAAAUUAUGAAAUAAUAAAUAUUUUUAUUUAAACCACUAAGUUUUGGAGUAAUGUGGUACCAAAGCAAAAAUUAACCAAUGCAUUUACCUUCUCAUAAACUACAUUUGUCAUAUUACAUGGCAUUGUAAAUUAGGUAUUUAGGUAUUUAUUUGAAAGGCAAAGAGAGAGAGAGAGAGAGAGAGAGAGAGAGAGAGAAACAAACUGAGCUUCCACCUACUGAUUUAUUCUCCAAGUCACUAUAAUGGCCAGAGCUGGGCCAGACCAAAGCCAGGAAUCUGGAACCCCAUCCAGGUCUCCCAUGUGCCCAAGUGCUUAGGCCACCAUCCACUGUUUUUCAAAAUGCAUGAGGAGGGAGCUGCACCAGAAGAUGAGCAGCUCUCUCCAAUAUGGAAUGCUAGCAUUGUAAGCAAUGGCUUAACCUGUAAACAGUGGCUUAACCCCAGUGCCACUGCUGAGAGUGAUAUUCUUUAUGCACUGUAAUGUAUUUAAUCUUCACAAUGACCUGUUAAAUUAAUGACGUAAUUCCCAUUUUAUAGAUAAAGCAACUGUCCAUCAGAAGAGUUGGUUAACUUGCUCUAGGUUAUAUAGCUAAAGGUAGAACAAGUUUUUGACCUCAGACAUGAUUAACCCUCAAACUCAAGUUAGAUGAUUUAAAUAAUACUUUGGAGCCAAAAUUGGAAUGUAGACCUCCUGAUAUUUUUCCUGGUUGUUAUGAAGACAACCAACCCACAGUCUAAAGAAAAUUGAGGUGAAACUGAAAGAGAUUGAGGGUGAUGAUAGCAAUACUCAGUACCUGCCACUACUCCUUCUUAGUUUUCAACUCAUUUGCAGAAGUCAAUUUAGCCAAGGAUUGUGACAAUGGUAUUUCUCACAAAGGCAUAAACCUAGAAUCAAACUGUAUUCAUUUACUCAGGCUACUCUAACAACAUUUCAGAGAUCAGGUAGCCCAAGAAACAAAAAUUCAUUUUCUCACAGUUCUGAGGGCUGGAAGUUCAAGGUCAAAGUGUCAAUGUGGUCAGUUUCUGAUGAGGCCUUUUUCCUGGCAGAGACAGCCACUUCCUCACAAAGUCCUCUCAUAUCUUGCCCAGAGAGCACUCUGGUGGCUCCUCUUCUUCUUGGAAAGUCACCAUUUAUAGCAUAUUAAGAUACCACGUUUAUUUAAGCUUCCUCAUCUCCAUAAAGGCCUUGUCUCCAAAUACUACCACAUUGAACUUCAACAGAGGAAUUUUGGGGGCACCAUUCAAUUAUUAACAUAAAUCAACACUCAUAUAUUGGCCACUCUGUGCAAGGCUAUGUAGAGACUAUGGAUGCCACUCCCAGGAUAUGAGCCUGAAACUGAUCCUGAAGGCACCAAAGGGAUAUCUAGCAAUCCAGCCAACCACUUAUCUCUGUACUCCUUGAUCUCUAACAGAGAAGUAAAGACAGGUAGCCCCUGCAGGAGAAGCCUGUACUUAAGGUAUGUGCACCACUAUACAUGACCCAAACAAGUCCAACUUCCUCACUUUACAGAUAGAAACUUGUGACUCAGAAAGGUAAAGUGACCUGCCCAAGAUCAUAGGGCUGGCUAGUAGCAAGGCCAGGACUGGGUGUAAAUGUUUUGGCUCCCAUCUUUUGGCUAGGCCUGAGGAUGGGUGUCCAGAUGAACCUUUAGAUGGAGAACUCUGGACAAACCCUUGCAGAUAUGUGUGGGUAGGUGGUUGUAGGGUACAGAGAUUUAGUGUGUGUGUGUGUUUGUGUGUAUGUGUCUUUCAGGGUUGUUAUUUGGCAGCACAAGCCAGUAUAGCUGGUAUCUUUGUCUUCUUCAUUAUCCAGUUUCUGUUUCUUCUCUUUUUUGUUCUUUUUCCUGUAUGAAAUUAAAGCCCCUAUUUGCAGCUCACUAGAGUUGGGAUUGGUGAAUUUUCUGAAAGGACCAGCUUGGGAAUAUGCAUAUACUAAGUUCUACAGGUCAAAUGAUCUGUCAUAAUUACACAGUCUGCCAUUGGAGCUUAAAGUGGCCAUACACAAAGUGGCUCUGUGGCAAUAAAACUCGUGAGUAAGAUACGGCAGGCUGGAGUUGAUCCAAUGGAUAUGCUUUUCAGAGCCCCUGAAACUAAGGUGCUCCCUUUGACAAACACACUUACAUGAACUUUACCCAUCUCUUUUCUGAUUUCACUUUGUCAAUUUCUUAGAUUCCAAAAACCAUGACUCUUCAUGGCUCUGUCAGUCUCAAUACAUCUAGCUCUGACCCUCAGUGUCAUCACCACCAGCACCACCAUGUCGUUAUCCUGUCUCAUGCCAAUCACUGUACUAAACAGCUUACAAGUGUUAUCACAUUUAAUUCCUUCAAAAACACUGAGAGGUAGGUAUUAUUCCCCACGUAAUAGGAAUUGACUGAGACUUAAAGAAUUAAAUAACUUAUCCAAUAUUACUGUAAGUGGUAAAUCUAGACAUGGUUGUCCUGAUUUAUAAACCUCAAGCUCUUAACAAAUUCUGUACCAGCUCCAAAAUAGAUGACUUUAAACUAACACAAGUAGAAAAAUCACCAAACUGAAAAAUAAGAGAGUAGCAAGUUAAAUCCCCUGACUACAACUGUAGGCUUAAGAGCCUAGAGUUAUGAUCGCCAAGUCAGAGGUCAAGUGAGGGUUGGACUUCAGAAUCUCCUGGGGAGACAUAUGCAUAUUCCUGAGUCCAGCCCUUAGAGAUUCUGAUUUCAUAGACACAAGAGGGAACCAGGAAUCUGCAUUUAAAUUACCAUCCCAGUUGAUUCUGGUCCUAGUGUUCUAAAAGCUGUAGUAGGCAACAAAACCUCUGAGUCUUACUGCAAAAUCCGGCAGUCAGAGUUGAUGUAGGUAAACACUUUGAGAUGACCAUUUCUGGGUCUCCAGUUCUGUUUAUGUGACACAGAAAUGUUGAUGUUCUUGCUGGCUCACCACUGAUAAUGACCUAACAUGAUUCUCCUUAAAAAGCAAAACCUUUCCAUGCAAAGUACAUCCCCAGAAUAUAUGAGCUCUGGUUUUCUUUUUUUAUUUAUUUCUCAGGAUUUUAAUUUCUGUACUUCCUGGCAUGUCCAUUCACACCAAAUGUGAGUGAAUUUAAUCAGAAACCUAAUAAUGUAAUACCAUAUUUGAAGUUUUCCUAGGGCUUUGGACAGGGAUAAGGGGCUUAGUUGAAUCUAUGCCUUAAAUAAUCUCUUUAAUACAAAUAAGUAAGGGAGGAUGCUCAUUGGCACAUAAUUGUCUGGCAUUUAUGGGAAUGUGGAGGCUAAUGAAGGUUUUUGUACAAAUGAUUUUUUCUGCUUGAUGAUUCAGACACUCAUAUUCUCCCCCUUACAUCUUAGCCACAUGUGGGAGGCAAUAAGAUCUCUUGUUUUAGAAGAUGAUUUUGUCCUUUCACAUUAACAACUUGCUUGUUGUUUGGUCAAUCCUCAGUCACCUUCAGUUCAGAAAAAAUAAGAAAACAGGGAUCAAGAAAUCCCAUCUGUGACACCGAAUAACCCAUAUUGCUGUUAAAAACCCUUAGUAAAACUACGUAGGAACACAAAGGCGAGAAUGAGAUGACUAGGUCCGAAUUUUUUCUCUACCAUUCACUGACUCAGUGGCUUUUUGUACUUUACAUAAUCUUUCUGCAUCUCAGCCCGCUCAUCUAUAAAAUGAAAAGAAUGAUAAUACUUCUCUUAUGGGGUUGUUUCAAAAAUGAAAUUGGGUAAGUAAAGUAUUGCAUGCCUGGAAUAUAGUAACUACUAAUAAAUGAUGGUUUUCUAUUCAUCAGGUUUUCAUUCAAAAAACACUUUUUAGAGGCCAUUAAUGUUGCAAGUACACAGCUACAUAGGACAGAGGUGUAAACAGACAGGAAUCCCUGGCUUCAUGCCCAAAGGAGUUAGACAAGUAUAAUACCAUUGAUAUUAGAGGGUAAUGAGUGCUUUGGAAAAAAUACAGCAGGGGAUGGUGAUAGGCAACAGCAGAGUCAUCUUUUUCCCUGAUGGUCCUCUGCACUGUGAGAAGUCUGCAGCCUGGGAUAUCAGGCAUGUGUGAGAAUGGUGGGCAGCCUGCAAUGACUGAACAAAACUAGGAAAAGAGGCAUAAAGAGAUUAGGACCCAUCUGAUGACGUGAUGGCCAAGAGUAUUCUGCAGUCAGCUAAGAGGAAGGGAUUUUUCCAGGAGCACAUAAAAUUCUGGUUCCCCUUUUUAUCCUGGUUAUUGGUUACUUGAGGCUAUGGAAGGGACUGUUUUACAAACCAUAAUUAGUAUCUUUACUAUGAAAGGUUUCAUAGUCUGGGCUCAAUGGAUGUGUUAAAUGUGCAAGGAGAAGGUCUAUAAAUUUUAUCACAGGAGCUAGUACUUGGUAUAAAGAUUAAGAUGCCCACCCUCAUAUCAGAGUGUUUGGCUUCUAGCUCCAGCUGUGGAUCCUAAUUCCAACUUCCUGCUAAUGCAGAUCCUGGGAGGCAAGAGUGAUUGCUGAAAUGGAUGGGUCCCUGCCACCUACCUGGGAGACCUGUUUUGAGUUUCUCACUCCUGGCUUCAGCUAUUGUGGGCAUUUUUUACAUGAACCAGUAGAAGGGAACUCUCUCUCUCUCUCUCUCAACUCUCAAAGUGACCUAUGACCACAACAGUUGAGAUUGCUUCUCUCCUUGAUUCAUAAAAUGGUGACCACCUGGGACAGUGCGAGUUUAUGUCCACUAUCCUCCUCUAAGUAUGAAUGAUGUCCUUUUUAUUUUCCAGGCUGGGUAUAUGAUUUUUGAGCCUUCUGAGCUAGAAGGCCUCUACCUUACCCCUUCAUCUGAUGUACUUCUAAAUAUGCUAGGUGGCCAUUAGUACUGGGUUGAAAAGAGUGCAGAACCCUGUUCUGAGAUCCAGAACCCAGUAUCAAGGGAUAUUGGGACUGCUGGCUACACUGCUCACUAACUGCCUAGGUGGGUGACCUCAGUAUCACCUGAUACAGAACACAGGAGGAGAGGGCACUAGCCUUCCACUUAAGGAGUUAAGGGUGAGUUUCUAGGGGAUUUCUUCCAGCACAUUCUUUCCAUUAAGUCCACCUUUGCAUGCAUCCUCAUUUCCGAAACUGAAAGUAUGAUGUUGUGCCAACUCGGGCCACAGGCAGGGAGAAGAAAUCAACAAAGCACCUGGAUAACCAACAAAGUAGAUGAUUAGAGCUGACAGUGCCAACACUAGAGACUUAGGUGGCAGAAAUCCUACUCUCUUCCCAGUGCACUAAGCUUGAGGCAAGUGUCUGUAUGUCUGAGGGGCUCAUGUAACAAGGUAGCUGGGAGAUUCUUCCCUUUUGGAUAUUUAAAGUCUCUGAAUUUUUUUCUUUUUCAGCAAACAAACAAAAGUAAAUAGAAAAUAAUUGUUAACCUACAUGAAAGCCAACAGAAUUAAAAAUAGAUGAGUGACAAAAUUCUCAAAUGCCUGCCCUUUGAGUUUCCACCUUAUAUUUUUGUGUCUCUUCUUAUUUGCUUUAGUUUGGGUUUCUUUGUUUCCUUAUGAGUUUACUCUUUUAUCUGUACAAGAAAGACUUUGGUUAAUGACUUUGGAGUCCUAUGUGUCAUCUAACUUUGAAGCAGCCAGGAAAUAAUGUUAUGUGUUCAGGAUCAAGGGAGAAAAAGAAGAAAAAUCAAGAAACUGGGAAUCAGAGAUCUCAUUGAGACACAUAUCCUCUUUGUCAUUUGGGGAUGGGAGCUCACUCUGUAUUGAGAGGUCUAAUAUUUGCUCUAUAGCUUUGGUGCAAUAAGUGGAAAUCCACUAGAAGUAACCUUUCUUACUUAUUAGGAAAUUAUUGAAUAUAGCAAGAUUAUCAAAUAGAAAACUAACUAACCUGCUAAAACCAACCAUUCAUAUUAAGUUAUCUCCCCAUAGAGCAACAUACACAUUCCUUUGAGAGAGAAGGAGACCCUAGUAUCCUGAAUUUUGCACAUGGGAAAGCUAAUGGUCUCUGUGGGUAUGGAUUGAAGUCCCCAGAAGCCACCUAGACCAGUACUGGAGAUUGAAUCUGGGAUGAGGUCCAAAGUGUCCAGUUGGAGACCAGUCUCUUAACAACCAGGAAAGUGCAAGGAAAUGUCAUGAAUCUGUGGAAUGUUAGGGUUUUUAUCCUUUGUAAAUUCUACUAGAUACGACUGAUAUAUGUGGUGACUCUACUGUCUCCACCCAUAAGGCUGUAAAUUUUAGAUUGAUACAGAUCUGGAAACGCUAAUACCUUGAUCCAGAUACCGCAGAGCAGUCUUCAUUGUGAUACUUGCAACUCUAGUGGGUUGGUAUGAUAAGGUAUAUUGGGCCCUGGAAUCAAAUUUUAACAUGUACCCCGUAGUGUACAGAGACCAAAUUGGGACUAUGGGCAUAUUUUUGUUACUGCUGUAUUGUUUUGGAUCACCCAGUGGUUUAAUUUAUUUUGUUACUCACAUUUUAAAACAGUGAGAGUUUACAUGAUAAUUUGAUUUCUGUUUUGGUUGGUUUCAUUUCCCGGAAGGCUCUCAUCAGCAUGCACCAAAUGGGAGCAGCCAUUCACUCUUCUUGUGGCCACAUUUCUAUCUGGCACAGUUCCCUGUCCCUGCAGGCAUGUCACUCUGCCACUUUCCUGGAUUUGGAAACUAGUUUUCCUCACAGGUAAAUUUGGUGGCACCCAAGUCUUCUGUUACUAUAUCUGGUGCACUUCUCAUGACUUCUUUCUUCUACGGACAGUCGGCCUGUAUUGGUGAUGAAUGCUUCCUGUAUUGGCACACCUCAGGGAGAUUAGAAUGGUUUUCUCAAACUGACAGAAGAGAGCCCAUGACUCCCUGAAGAUGAGGGCACAGAUGUCACAGCAUCCUCGGAGUAAAGGGGAGGUGUCUUACUUGAUUUGUGUACUACUAAACCAAAGUACCCUAGACCAGGCAAUUUAUGAACAACAGACAUUUAUUGCUCAUGGUUCUAGAGGCUGGAAAGUACAAGAUCAAGGUGCCAGUGUGCAGUGAGGGCCUGUUCCUCUCAGAUAGUACCUUUUGUAUGUCCUCCCAUGGUUGAAGGGAAAGGUAACUAUUCUCUGGGUCUGCUUUUGAAGAGUUAAAAUUGUAUAUGUGCGGGUGUAAAAAGUUAAGCUUAAACUUACAGGUUUAAACCUUCCUGGUGCAGCUGUGAAAAUAAGACAGAGUAAAGUAGCACCUUGACAGUAGGGACUCCAUUUUGGAGCACUUGAAACUACAUUCUGGGAAAGCACCCCCCCGCCCCCCCGUGAGACUCUGGUCUGAAACUAUGAUCUCAAAUAGUCGGACAAUAGCAGGGCACUACAUCACCCUUGGCAACACAUAAAAACCCCCUAGCAUGAUUGCUCAAGCUUAAAAAUAAAAAGUCUACACCUAGGUUACCUGAGCCAAUAAUGAAAAUGUGAUUUGUCUAUGUCUUAAGAUCAUAAUUGCUGAUUGUAAGAUAUUAGCAACCGCUUAGCAACCGUGUCUUCUCUCCCCCCUCCCGAUUUUGCGGUUUUUGCCUUUAUAAACCCUAACCUUUGGUUAUUCGGGGCUGCUCUGCUCAUGUAUGAUCAGACAGCCCCAGCAUGCUGGAUAAUCAAUAAAGCUUCCCCGUGCUGUUUGCAUAAGAGACAUGUCUCUUGGUGAUGUUUUUCGGGUGGUCGACUCUAACAUUUGGAGGCCCCAGCGAGAUCGUGGUUGCCCGUGGACACCUCCAAAGGAUGUCUCUUGGGGUAAGUAGAAAGGCGCCUAAGGUAGGGACUCAGUAUAUGUGCGCUUCAGGUUUCAGUUUUUCGGGUUAUAGGCCUGUUUCGAUUUUGGUUUUUGGGUUGGCACGGUACGCACUGUGGCUGGCAGACGUGCCUGAAAGCCCCAGGCUACCACCUUGGGGGACGCCCCAAGAGGACCGGGAGACUGAGGACGCUCAGCAAAACUCCCAUCAGAAAUUCCCCUAGGCGGGAGUUUUGUGCCAACAGCGGUUACAUUUUAGGUUUCAGGUUUUUUUGGGGGGAAUUGCUUUUCUGUCUGUAACAUGGGUCAAACUGUGUGGAGGCUGCUAUCUCUUACUUUGGCUCACUGGCCUGAUGUAGGGGCUAGGGGAUCUAAUCUCUCUCUUCUGAUUAAGAAGGUAAAGCAGCAGUCUUUCUGUGCCUCUGAAUGGCCUGCUCACUGGGUGGAUUGGCCCCCCGGAGGGCUCAUUCCAUUUACCACUCAUUCCCGAGUGUUCUCCUGCCUGGCCAUCAUGGGCACCCGGACCGGGAUUUUGAGAAGACAUCGGAGGUGAGUAUUCCUUCCCUCAAGCGGGACCGGAUCUGUGGAAGUGAGUUGAGUGUCCGGCACCCCACAGCUCUCCGAGAACGCGGAGUCCCCCGGCCACGGCUUAGCUAAGGCCGAAACUCCAGAGGGAUUGUAAGGAACGGGAGGGAAAUUAGGAAGGGCAGUUGGCUGAGAUUCUGGAGACCCCCUGAGCUCGCUUUGGCUUCCCGGCGGCUGGACUGUGACCCGAGCACCAGGUCUCUCUCUCAGGGACGCCUGGUCACGCUGCCUACCUACUGCUAUGUGAGCAGGGCUUAGCUUCAGUCGAGGCUAAUAUUGGCCCUUCAGGUAAACUCAGACAACUAGGUAGUGGGUAACCUUGAGCGAUAGAUUUCAAACCCCACUCAGCCCCCAGACAGGAGGAGCUUCAUUGCUUUCUGCCUUCCUCCUGGGGGGGGGGGGGGCUCCCUCCCCCACUCUUUUGCUCUCCUCAUCUCCAUUGCUAUACCACUGGCCAGGAGGAAGGGAGAGGGAAAUUCCACAGGUCUCUCCACCCAGGGAAAAGCUGUUACCUGUUACCUGUUAACCCUUUCCAACCUGGUAGAAAGUUUUCCGUCUUUGCAGCUUAUGGUAGUUCUGGUGCGUCUUAAAGUUUUUUUGUAAACUAUUACUGUUGCUAAGCUUUGAUUGCCUGAGGACUAAAUCUGGAAAAGAGCUAAAGUUAACUAUCUGUUGUAAUUGACUGAGUGUCUGCAGUAGUCCUAAUUAAUCUGGCUUUGGUUAAAUUAUAGGAGGUUCCCAACACUCUUGGUAAAAUAGCGCACCUACCCAACCCCACGGCUAGUCCUGCCAGGCCCCGGUGUGCACAGUCUUCCCUGUAAAUGGGGGACCACAGCCUUUCUCUGCACUCCAAAUAUCUCUAGGCAGAGCCCCCACCCCAAGGCUGCUUCUUUUUCCUCUCCUGGAGGAAUUUCUAAUUCAAUACCACUGCUGACCUUACCUAAGGGAGCCAGAACCUUAAGCCAUUAACCCUUUCCAACCUGAUGGGUCUUUCUCUUUGCAGCUAAUGAAAACCUAAACAAUGGGUUCAUAUGCUGAUAAUCAGCUCUUUUCUGUGCUACUGUCCCUGACUUAUCUGAUGAGAGUGUUCACCUGUCUUGAAGAAGGGAAGUUACUACUGUUCUUCAGGACUCUCCACUGUUAUGUACAGUUUGAUCCCCAGACCUUAUGUAAGGGAUGACUGACCUUUUCUGUAAUAAUGCCUGGCCACAGUAAAGGGCCCCAAACAACAUAACAACAACAAAAAAAGAGGUUACACUAUCUUCCCUAAAGGGUCAUAGUUCUCAUGGGCACGGUCUUAACUCGCAGGAAAAUACUAAGUGUCAGAAUUUGCCCAUGACCAUGGUUUUUCUAGCUCACCCUAAUAUUAAAAAAAAAAUCUCCAAAAAUCAGGGUUGGGUUGAGCACCCCCUUGACUGACAUCGUAGAGGCUGCCUCCUUGGUCUACUUUAUUAGAGACCAGGAGAACGAGGAGCAAGCAAACAGCAGAAGAUGGGCAACAGGCCAAUCAAUGGCUGCUUUACAGGGUGAUCUACCGUCAAGGAGACCCAGCAAGGCCAAUGCACCCCAAACAGCACCUGUUACUGAUAUAAGGAGCCAGGGCAUUGGGCAAGCAGCUGUCAUGACAGCAAAUGCCUUCUGUCAGCUCUGCCAAGAGCACGGUCACUGGACACGGAACUGCCCUGGGUGUCGAAGGACUCCUGGUUCAGAACCGCAGACCCUGUGGCCCCGAGCUAAAAAGCCUUUGGCUCUGCCCAGCCUCUGCCCAGCUUCCAGCUCCAGCCACUGCUAUUGAGGGGAUGGCCUAGGGUCAGUGAAACGCAAGUUGCCUAUUUCUAUCAGCCUCCUAUUCAGCUCUCCUCCUAGUCCAGCCAUGUAAUGCAAGUCAACAGGGUGCCUCCCUUAAAGGAGAUUUGCAUCUCUUUCUUUUUUUUUUUUUUAACUUUUAUUUAAUGAAUAUAGAUUUCCAAAGUACGACUUAUGAAUUACAGUUUAUGGAUUACAAUGGCUUCCCCCCCCAUACCGUCCCUCCCACCCACAACCCUCCCCUUUCCCACUCCCUCUCCCCUUCCAUUCACAUCAAGAUUCAUUUUCGAUUAUCUUAAUAUACAGAAGAUCAGCUUAGUAUACAUUAAGUAAGGAUUUCAAAAGUUUGCUCCCACACAAAAACAUAAAGUGAAAAAUAAUAGAUGAUUUUUUUUAAAUGAUGAUGAAAUCAGAGCAGACCUAUUGUCAUGUUUAAUCCCAGUGAGGGUCAAGUUGGGAAUUGAUAAUUUCUUUUUUUUUUUUUUUUUACAGAGGAUCAGUUUAGUAUGCAUUAAGUAAAGAUUUCAACAGUUUGCACCCCCAUAGAAACACAAAGUGAAAUAUAUUGUUUGAGUACUCGUUAUAGCAUUAAAUCUCAAUGCACAGCACAUUAAGGACAGAGAUCCUACAUGAGGAGUAAGUGCACAGUGACUCCUGUUGUUGACUUUACCAAUUGACACUCCUGUCUAUGGCAUCAGUAAUCUCCCUAUGCUCCAGGCAUGAGUUUCCAAGGCUAUGGAAGCCCUCUGAGUUCUCCGACUCUUAUCUUGUUUAGACAAGGUCAUAGUCAAAGUGAAGGUUCUCUCCUCCCUUCAGAGAAAGGUACCUCCUUCUUUGAUGACCUGUUCUAUCUGCAUCUCUUUCAAUUCUCUUCCAGCAUCCCAUGGAUAGGUCUGGGCCUCACACACCCAGCCAGGCCUUAAAAGUCUAUCCAAUAACAUUAAGCUUAGAAAGCCCUCCCUGCCAGUUCCUAAAAACAGGGCUUUCAGUAACAGCUAACACAGAUAGCCCUACACCUAUUUGGACAGGUCCUCACUGGGGACUUAAAGGGCCUAUCUCUUGAGGGGGGUGCACAAUAAUCCAUAAUAUAAAUAGUUAAAUGUAAAUAAUUCAUUAGUCUGUCUUCUUUCCCAGCCUGAGACUCUAGUCUUGUACAUUGGCUUAACUUCCUAGCAAAACUGGCUACUAGAUAUCCAAAUAUAUAUAUAUAUAUAUAUAUACAUAUAUAUAUAUAUAUAUAGUCUCUGGGUCAAUCAGACUAGACAGACACAAACCCAAAUUUGUACCUUUUCUGGAAAAAGCCAAACAGCUCCAGGACCAGGCCAAGCAGGGCUGGGAUUUCUGGCCUAACAUCUGAUCAUAAAAAUCCUGGCUAUUUCCUCUCCUUGGCCCACUAACUUCUGCAAUCUUGAUGCUUCUCUUUGGGCCAUGUGUUUUUAAUGCCCUUGUUCAUUUUGUCUCUAACAGACUAAAAGCUGUUGAACUCCAAAUGGUCAUCAGGCAAGACUUCCAGCCCAUUUCACUGGACGACCUGAGCAGCCCUCUGGACCGAGCAACACAGUCUUUCCAAAGCCACUGUUGCACACCAUAAGAUAGGUAGCAAGAGGAAAUACCCAAAUCCCCCUCGACGCCCACAUGCCAGCUUCGAAGAAGUUACAGAAAACGGAACUCCAUCCAUAAUCCCAAAGAAGAAUUUUGGGUAUUACCUCUUGAGGGAAAAAUGUUAGGCAGAAAGUCAGUUAUGAGCUUAUGUGUGUGUGACAUAAAGGCCUAAUGUGUCCAGCAUAUACAUCUACAUCUCAGUCAUCCUGACAAUGUUUCAUGGGCAGCCUGGCCUUUGCAUCCUGCCCUGCCCCCUUCUACCUGAUAACCUGCCAGGUGGAGAUCCCCGCCCCUUCUGCCUGACAAAUCUUCCACAAUCUCCCAGAUGCAGCCCAAUAUCUGCAUUUCAGUAUUACAGAACAGGCGGGGGUUGAAUCUCAUUUUCAUAAAUGGGGGGGGGGGGUUAUGCGUGGCCCUAAAGAAAAAAAUGUUGUUUUUAUGCUGACUAAACUGGGGUAGUUAAAAACUCCAUGGCCAAACUCAGAAAACGACUGGAAAACGGCAACGGGAGAGGGGAACUCAACAGGGAUGGUUUGAGUCAUGGUUCGGCCGGUCCCCAUGGCUUACUACUCUACUGUCAGCCCUAACAGGACCCUUAAUUGUUCUACUCCUAAUUGUAACCAUAGGACCUUGUGUGUUAAAUAGACUCAUCACCUUCGUGCGGAAACAAGUUAAAAAUGUUAAACUCAUGGUUGUAAGACAACAAUAUGUCACAUUAAAAAAGACAAAAAUGAAUAAUCUCUAAGAUUAGAGAUCCUCACAACAAGGAGUGGGGAAUGAAGAGUUAAAAUUGUAUAUGUGCGGGUGUAAAAAGUUAAGCUUAAACUUACAGGUUUAAACCUUCCUGGUGCAGCUGUGAAAAUAAGACAGAGUAAAGUAGCACCUUGACAGUAGGGACUCCAUUUUGGAGCACUUGAGAUUGCAUUCUGGGAAAGCACCCCCCCGCCCCCCCCGUGAGACUCUGGUCUGAAACUAUGAUCUCAAAUAGUCGGACAAUAGCAGGGCACUACAUCACCCUUGGCAACACAUAAAAACCCCCUAGCAUGAUUGCUCAAGCUUAAAAAUAAAAAGUCUACACCUAGGUUACCUGAGCCAAUAAUGAAAAUGUGAUUUGUCUAUGUCUUAAGAUCAUAAUUGCUGAUUGUAAGAUAUUAGCAACCGCUUAGCAACCGUGUCUUCUCUCCCCCCUCCCGAUUUUGUGGUUUUUGCCUUUAUAAACCCUAACCUUUGGUUAUUCGGGGCUGCUCUGCUCAUGUAUGAUCAGACAGCCCCAGCAUGCUGGAUAAUCAAUAAAGCUUCCCCGUGCUGUUUGCAUAAGA